rnacentral:rRNA from 1 species
AGUGAACGCUGGCGGUAGGCCUAACACAUGCAAGUCGAACGGCAGCACAGUAAGAGCUUGCUCUUACGGGUGGCGAGUGGCGGACGGGUGAGGAAUACAUCGGAAUCUACUUUUUCGUGGGGGAUAACGUAGGGAAACUUACGCUAAUACCGCAUACGACCUACGGGUGAAAGCAGGGGAUCUUCGGACCUUGCGCGAUUGAAUGAGCCGAUGUCGGAUUAGCUAGUUGGCGGGGUAAAGGCCCACCAAGGCGACGAUCCGUAGCUGGUCUGAGAGGAUGAUCGGCCACACUGGACCGGAGACCCGGUCCAGCCUCCUACGGGAGGCAGCAGUGGGGAAUAUUGGACAAGGGGCGCAAGCCUGAUCCAGCCAUACCGCGUGGGUGAAGAAGGCCUUCGGGUUGUAAAGCCCUUUUGUUGGGAAAGAAAAGCAGCAGGUUAAUACCCCGCUGUUCUGACGGUACCCAAAGAAUAAGCACCGGCUAACUUCGU